UACGAAGGGGGCUAGCGUUGCUCGGAUUGACUGGGCGUAAAGGGCGCGUAGGCGGUUCGUACAGUCAGACGUGAAAUUCCUGGGCUCAACCUGGGGGCUGCGUUUGAUACGUGCGGACUUGAGUGCGGAAGAGGGUCGUGGAAUUCCCAGUGUAGAGGUGAAAUUCGUAGAUAUUGGGAAGAACACCGGUGGCGAAGGCGGCGACCUGGUCCGAUACUGACGCUGAGGCGCGAAAGCUAGGGGAGCAAACGGG
rnacentral:rRNA from 1 species